rnacentral:rRNA from 1 species
UGAACGCUGGCGGCGUGCCUAACACAUGCAAGUCGAACGAGAAAGUCUCUUCGGAGAUGAGUACAGUGGCGGACGGGUGAGUAACGCGUGAGAAUUUACCCUUUAGUGAGGAAUAACUUCGAGAAAUUGAAGAUAAUACCGCAUAAGCCCCAAGGGGGAAAGGUGGCCUCUUUGCUGCCGCUAAAGGAUAAGCUUGCGUACUAUUAGCUAGUUGGUAGGGUAAAGGCCUACCAAGGCGAUGAUGGUUAGCCGGCCUGAGAGGGUGUUCGGCCACAUUGGAACGUAGACACGGUCCAAACGCCUACGGGAGGCAGCAGUGAGGAAUAUUGCGCAAUGAGCGAAAGCUUGACGCAGCGACGCCGCGUGGAGGAUGAAGGUUUUCGGAUUGUAAACUCCUGUUAAGUGGGAAGAAAGUCAUGUUUCUAAUAAAGACAUGGAAUGACGGUACCGCUAAAGAAAGCACCGGCUAACCUCGU